GGCCGCGAAUUCGCCCUUAGGGUUUGAUCAUGGCUCAGAUUGAACGCUGGCGGCAGGCCUAACACAUGCAAGUCGAGCGGAUGAAGGGAGCUUGCUCCUGGAUUCAGCGGCGGACGGGUGAGUAAUGCCUAGGAAUCUGCCUGGUAGUGGGGGAUAACGUCCGGAAACGGGCGCUAAUACCGCAUACGUCCUGAGGGAGAAAGUGGGGGAUCUUCGGACCUCACGCUAUCAGAUGAGCCUAGGUCGGAUUAGCUAGUUGGUGGGGUAAAGGCCUACCAAGGCGACGAUCCGUAACUGGUCUGAGAGGAUGAUCAGUCACACUGGAACUGA
rnacentral:rRNA from 1 species